GUGGGGAAUAUUCCGCAAUGGACGAAAGUCUGACGGAGCAACGCCGCGUGAGUGAUGAAGGUUUUCGGACUGUAAAGCUCUGUUGUUUAGGACGAAAGUGCCUGUUGCAAACAGUUACAGGUAUUGACGGUACUAAACGAGGAAGCCACGGCUAACUACGUGCCAGCAGCCGCGGUAAUACGUAGGUGGCAAGCGUUGUCCGGAAUUAUUGGGCGUAAAGAGCAUGUAGGCGGGAAUCUAAGUCUGUUGUGAAAAUGCGGGGCUCAACCCCGUAUUGCGAUGGAAACUGGGUUUCUUGAGUGCAGGAGAGGAAAGGGGAAUUCCCAGUGUAGCGGUGAAAUGCGUAGAUAUUGGGAGGAACACCAGUGGCGAAGGCGCCUUUCUGGACUGUGUCUGACGCUGAGAUGCGAAAGCCAGGGGAGCGAACGGGAUUAGAAACCCCGGUAGUCC
rnacentral:rRNA from 1 species